AUGGGUUCGAGGUACGAGGUGGAGGUGACGGUGGGCUCGGCGCGGGACCUCAAGAACGUCAACUGGCGCAACGGCGACCUGCAGCCCUACGCCGUGCUCUGGGUCGACGACGGCCCCAAGUGCUCCUCCCGCGUCGACCUGGACAACGGCGAGAGCCCGGUCUGGGACGAGAAGCUCACCGUCCCGCUCCCGCCGUCCACCGCCCGCCUCGAGGACGCCGUCCUCCGCAUCGACGUCGUCCACGCCAACGCCGGCGGGGGCACCAAGCCGCUCGUGGGGUCCGCGCGCCUCCCUCUGCGCGACGUCCUCGACGACGCCGGCCUCGGCGGCCGCGCGUCCCGCACGCUCCGCCUCAAGCGCCCCUCCGGCCGGCCCCAGGGCCGCCUCGACGUCCGCGUCGCCGUCCGCGAGGCCGCCGCCCGCUACUACGACCCCGCCUACCCGCCGCCCUACGGCCAGAGCCAGCCCCAGUCCCGCGACCCCUACGCGGCCCCGGCGCCGUACGGCUCGGGCGGGUACGGGUAUGGCCAGCAGCAGCCGUACGCCGCGCCGCCGUCCGGCUACCCGGCCGCCUACGGCGCCGCCGCGCCACCGCAGCCCGCCGGGUACCCUGCCGCCUACGGAGGCGGCGCGCAGCCGGCGUACGGCGCCGCUCCUGCCCCCGCGUACGGGUCGGUGAGUGACCCUGCUGCGAAGAAGAAGGGGAUGGGGAUGGGGGCGGGGCUGGCGGUGGGCGCGGCGGCGGGGGUGCUGGGCGGGCUGGCGCUGGCGGAAGGGGCGAGCUACCUGGAGGACAAGAUCGAGGACGACGUGGCGGAGAAGGUGGAGGACGACCUGGCCGGCGGCGGCUACGACGACGACGACUACUAG
rnacentral:rRNA from 1 species